GCGGGAUUAGUUUAGUGGCAGGACGGCUGCUUCCCAAGCAGCAAGCACCAGUUCGAUUCUGGUAUCCCGCA
rnacentral:tRNA from 1 species